GUUCGAGAGCGCUGUAUAGGAGCCGGAGUUGGGAUGCACCACGCUGAUAGUGAAGGUGGCCUUCAGGGCGGGCUCAUCGAAGCAGGGGAACGCCUGGCGGGCAUAGGUCGGCUCGAACUUGGAGGUGGCUAUUUUUUUGCGACUUUCGUCGGC